UGCAAUCCCACCAUUAAAUUCUCCUCUUUCUUCUCUACAAAACCAUACCAACAAAUCACAACCUUGUUCUCAAUUUCUCAAAAAAUCGGAAAAAGAAAGCAGGUCAUCAUCUCCUAUGAUUCUGACGAUUCCUUCAACUUCGAUCGGUCUCCUAAUCCUCUCUCUUGUAAGCUUAAUCGAUUUCUUGAAUACCCAACUCAGUUUCUUUCGUAAGGUUCUCAAAUUUUGGGACUAACUUAGGCUUUCUUUCCAUGUUCUUAAUUGCCGCCGUGCUCCACCUUCGAGCUUCCUCCCAUUGGCCAUUCCAAAAGCAUCGGCGAGUCCGUACACAUUUAUUUGUGAAGCGUUUGGGACAGUAGCAACAAGUAUGGGCAAGGCAUCAGCUCCAAAUCGAGGCGAAGAGAGUCAUUGCCUUCACCUCUGCAUUUUAGUCAUCAGAGAAUUACCAUGGUGUGGCGAGGCACAUUCUAUAAUUGCCGAGACGUGGUAUUGGAGUGGUUAUCCGGGAUAAAAAAGGACUCCAUGUGCACGGCUUCUCCUUGUUCAACUCUACCUCCCAAGCCGUGAGUAACUCUCCAUGUAGGCACGGCUCUCCUUGUUUUCCUCUAGUAUUAUUUCUUAAAUCCAAU